UGGGAUAAGUUGAUUGAAUAUCAUUACUCUAAGCUCGUUACGUCGUCGGCGAGAAGGAAUGGGAAGCGGAAGCGGAAGCGAGACUGUUUAACAGCCCUGACGUAGACUCAGCUAGGUAUCCGAUAAAGUUUGUGUCAUAAGUUAUAAUUUAUCGGGCCUCCUUGGGUCAUACUUCUUAAGUUAAAAUAAUAAAUUGCAUUCUAUAUCCAAUUCGUUUUAGCAGAUUUUUACUCAUAAAUUAACUCAUCAUUAUGAUUUUUUUCUAUAUAGAUGCUUAUCUCAUUG
rnacentral:lncRNA from 1 species